UACGUAGGGUGCAAGCGUUAAUCGGAAUUACUGGGCGUAAAGCGUGCGCAGGCGGUUAUGUAAGACAGAUGUGAAAUGCCCGGGCUUAACCUGGGAACUGCAUUUGUGACUGCAUGGCUAGAAUCUGGCAGAGGGGGGUAGAAUUCCACGUGUAGCAGUGAAAUGCGUAGAUAUGUGGAGGAACACCGAUGGCGAAGGCAGCCCCCCUGGGCUAACACUGACGCUCAUGCACGAAAGCGUGGGGAGCAAACAGG
rnacentral:rRNA from 1 species